GGGGAAGUGGCGGAACCGGCAGACGCGCAUGCCUUAGGAGCAUGUGGGGUGACCCGUGGGAGUUCGAGUCUCCCCUUCCCCA
rnacentral:tRNA from 1 species